rnacentral:misc_RNA from 1 species
ACCGGGAUCUUGUGCUUAAUUUUGUAUUUACAUUAGUUAGCGAUAACUUACAUUAUGUAGUUCCCACUUUGGCUUGGUGUUUGGCGGUGUGGCGCGUCGCUAGACUGAGGGGGCUGACCCCACAAGAUUAUCAAGAGCGGGUAAGUGAGAGCGUGGCCGACACCCUUAAAGAACAACUCUCUCAAAGGGUAUUGGACCCCCUCUUUGAGACGAACCACGUUCUUCUUCCGGCAAACAAAACUAGUUAUGAUGUAAUAGAAGUUAUGGUAGCGCACGACCCA